rnacentral:rRNA from 1 species
GAUGAACGCUGGCGGCGUGCCUAAUACAUGCAAGUCGAGCGAACGGACGAGAAGCUUGCUUCUCUGAUGUUAGCGGCGGUCGGGUGAGUAACACGUGGAUAACCUACCUAUAAGACUGGGAUAACUUCGGGAAACCGGAGCUAAUACCGGAUAAUAUUUUGAACCGCAUGGUUCAAAAGUGAAAGACGGUCUUGCUGUCACUUAUAGAUGGAUCCGCGCUGCAUUAGCUAGUUGGUAAGGUAACGGCUUACCAAGGCAACGAUGCAUAGCCGACCUGAGAGGGUGAUCGGCCACACUGGCACUGAGACACGGUCCAGACUCCUACGGGAGGCAGCAGUAGGGAAUCUUCCGCAAUGGGCGAAAGCCUGACGGUGCACCGCCGCGUGAGUGAUGAAGGUCUUCGGAUCGUAAAACUCUGUUAUUAGGGAAGAACAUAUGUGUAAGUAACUGUGCACAUCUUGACGGUACCUAAUCAGAAAGCCACGGCUAACUACGUG